rnacentral:lncRNA from 10 species
AUAUAAUUAAUGAGAGUCAAAGCCAUUACUGUGGACUUAACUGUGUAAUGGUGGUGGAGGGGCAGGUCUAGGUUUCAUGCCAAACCAAAAAUAUGUGAAAUUUAGCUCCUAAACCAACUUUCUUCUUUGUUCUUGAAUGUUGUCUCUUCAAAGAAACUCAAGGCCUUUGAUGACUACUAAUCCCUUUAAAUCUCCUGUUGUCCCUACAAAACAAAUGGGGAACCUAGUAGGACUGGGGACUGAAUUAUUCCCAAUUACUGCCUGAAAUUUUUUCUAAAUAGAAGGACUAGUCUUUUUUAGAGUUUGGCAAAAGAAAGUUUCAAGCCUUCUUUCAUUCUUGAUUUAAUAGCAAUUUCAUUGUGAUGACCACUUUACCAGAUGAAAAUGGCCCUUUGUCAUUUGUUCAUUGAGCAAAUGUUGGGAAGUUUAGGACCAAGUGUCAUGAAAAUAUAAAUCAAGCAAAAAAAAAAACAACAUUUCCCUCAAACAGUUUAUUACUUAGUAAAGGGGCUAGACUAUAUAUAUAUAUAUAUAUAUAUAUAUAUAUAUAUAUAUAUAUAUAUAUAUAUAUAAAAUACAACUACUACACAGGUAAAAUAAGUGUCCUAAGAAGGGAAGAUCAAGUGCCAAGGAGAGGUAGAAAAGAAAAAGUCCCUCCCCUGCCAAAGCCAACAGAUUUCUGCAGAGGAAUGUGAGGUAAAGCAUGUACAGCACUUGGCAUAUGGCAUUUGUUCAAUAAACCUGAUUGUAUUGCCAUUAUUUUUGGUGUUAUGACAUAGCGAAUAGAAAAACCAUCAUAAGCAAAGAUGGAGGUGGGUAAAUGUGGUGUAUCACAGAGAAGAGCAGUUCAAUGUGACUCAAGAACAAGAAGAAAGAAGAAUGUAUGAAGGGGAGUUCUAGGAAAUCCCUUGAAAAGUAAUUGGUCAUGGAAACAUGGAUUUAAAAAAGGAAAGUAAUUGGGAUCAAAUCAGGAAAAGUCUUUGAUGCAGUUUGAAUAUUUGUACCCACUCAAAUCUCAUGUUGAAAUGUAAUCCCCAAUGUUGGAUGUUGGAGGUGGGGUCUGGUGGGAGGUAGUCGGAUCAUGGGGAUGAAUUCCUCAUAAAUGGUUUAGUGCUAUCCCGUUGGUGCUGUCCUUAUGAUAGUGAGUUCUAGUGGGAUCUGACCAUUUAAAAGCAUGUAGUAUCUCCCUACCCUUCACUUGCUCCUGCUUUCACCAUGUGACAUGUCUGUUUCUCCAGAGGGUACAAGCCAUAAACCUUGGUGGCUUCUACAUGGUGUUAAGCCUGCAGGCAUACAGAGUGCAAGAAUGAAGAAUGCUUGGCACCCUUCACCUAGAUUUCAGAGGCUGUAUGAGAAAGUGUGGGUGUUCAUGCAGAAACCGGCUGCAGGGGUGGAGCCCCCAGAGAGUACCUCUACUAGGGCAGUGUGGAGGUAAAAUGUGGGGUUGGAGCUCCCACACAGAGUCCCCACAAGGACACUGCCUAGUGCAGCUGUGAGAAGGGGGCCACCAUCCUCCAGACCCCAGAAUGAUAGACCCACUGGCAGCUUGCACCCUGGGCCUGGAAAACCACGGGCACUCAACAACCUGUGAGAGCAGCCACAGGGGCUGAACUCUGCAAAGCCACAAGGGUGGAGCUAUCCAAGUCCUUGGGAGCCCACCCCUUGUAUUGGUGUGCCCUGAAUGUGGGACAUGGAGUCAAAGGAGAUUAUUCUGGAACUUUAAGAUUUAAUAACUGCCCUGCUGUGUUUCAGACUUGCCUGGGGCCUGUAGCCCAUUUGUUUUGGCCAGUUUCUCCCUUUUGGAAUGGGAAUGUUUACCCAGUAUCUAUACCCCCAUUUUAUUUGGGGAGUCAAUAAGUUGUUUUGAUUUUAUAGGCUCAUGGGUGGAAGGGACUUGCCUUAUUUCAAAUGAGACUUUGGACUUGGAACUUUUGAUUGAGUUUGUGCUGGAAUGAGUUAAAAUUUGGGGAACUAUUGGGAAGAUAUAAUUGUAUUUUGCAAUGUGAGAAGGACAUGAGAUUUUUGGGGGGCUAGAGAUGGAAUGAUAUGGUUUGAAUAUUUGUCCCUGCCAAAAUCUCAUGUUGAAAUGUAAUUCCCAGUGAUAAAGGUGGGGCCUGGUGGGACAUGACUGGAUCAUGGGAGUGAAUUCUCAUGAAGGGUUUAGCACCAUUCUGUGGUGCUAUCUUCAUGAUAGUGAAUGAGUUCUCACAAGAUCUGGUCAUUUAA